rnacentral:rRNA from 1 species
AGCAUAUCAAUAAGCGGAGGAAAAGAAACCAACAGGGAUUGCCCUAGUAACGGCGAGUGAAGCGGCAACAGCUCAAAUUUGAAAUCUGGCUCUUUUAGGGUCCGAGUUGUAAUUUGCAGAGGGCGCUUUGGCUUUGGCAGCGGUCCAAGUUCCUUGGAACAGGACGUCACAGAGGGUGAGAAUCCCGUACGUGGUCGCUAGCUAUCGCCGUGUAAAGCCCCUUCGACGAGUCGAGUUGUUUGGGAAUGCAGCUCUAAAUGGGAGGUAAAUUUCUUCUAAAGCUAAAUAUUGGCCAGAGACCGAUAGCGCACAAGUAGAGUGAUCGAAAGAUGAAAAGCACUUUGGAAAGAGAGUCAAACAGCACGUGAAAUUGUUGAAAGGGAAGCGCUUGCAGCCAGACUUGCUUGCAGUUGCUCAUCCGGGCUUUUGCCCGGUGCACUCUUCUGUAGGCAGGCCAGCAUCAGUUUGGGCGGUGGGAUAAAGGUCUCUGUCACGUACCUCUCUUCGGGGAGGCCUUAUAGGGGAGACGACAUACCACCAGCCUAGACUGAGGUCCGCGCAUCUGCUAGGAUGCUGGCGUAAUGGCUGUAAGCGGCCCGUCUUGAAACACGGACCAAGGAGUCUAACAUCUAUGCGAGUGUUUGGGUGUCAAGCCCGAGCGCGUAAUGAAAGUGAACGGAGGUGGGAACCCGCAAGGGUGCACCAUCGACCGAUCCUGAAGUUUUCGGAAGGAUUUGAGUAAGAGCAUGGCUGUUGGGACCCGAAAGAUGGUGAACUAUGCUUGAAUAGGGUGAAGCCAGAGGAAACUCUGGUGGAGGCUCGCAGCGGUUCUGACGUGCAAAUCGAUCGUCAAAUUUGGGCAUAGGGGCGAAAGACUAAUCGAACUAUCUAGUAGCUGGUUCCUGCCGAAG